UACAGAGGGUGCGAGCGUUGUCCGGAAUCACUGGGCGUAAAGGGCGCGUAGGCGGCGCGGUAAGCGUGCGGUGAAAGCCCGGGGCUCAACCCCGGGUCGGCCGUGCGGACCGCCGGGCUGGAGCACUGUAGAGGCAGGUGGAAUUCCGGGUGUAGCGGUGGAAUGCGUAGAGAUCCGGAAGAACACCGGUGGCGAAGGCGGCCUGCUGGGCAGUAGCUGACGCUGAAGCGCGACAGCGUGGGGAGCAAACAGG
rnacentral:rRNA from 1 species